rnacentral:rRNA from 1 species
AGCUCCAGAAGUAUACACUUAAGUUGUUGCGGUUGAAAAGCUCCUAGUUGGAACUGACGGAUCGGGGCGCUGGUACUGUCGAGCACGCACCCUUCGGGGGGCGGAGCCCGGCCCGGCGUCCGGCAGAUCCGAGCAGCGAGCUUGUUGGCCGGUCGCGGCUCUCCUUCACCGGACGGCCCGGCCAGGAUGGCCAUUGAGACGAUAUUACUUUGAAAAAAUUAGAGUGUUCAAAGCAGGCCUUCGAGGCCCGGAUAACGAUGCACAGAAUAGCGGAAGAGGGCUUCCUUCUUGACCGCUGGCGACAUGACACGAGCGAGGCAAUGAUCGAGAGGGACGGACGAGGGCAUUCGUACCGCGCCGUUAGAGGUGAAAUUCUUGGAUCGGCGCGAGACGAACUGAG